CCCCAGUGAAAGAUGGCAGCCCCCCGAUAUUCAAGAUCAUUAACGUUUUGGAGGGAAAGGGGAGACAACCCGACAGUGAAGCGAUUCUUCCCCCUUUUCCUGCAUUACAGAUGGUGGAGCAAGAGGAAAGAUUCUUGGUACCUCAAAAUUUAAAAACCUGCGUUUGGAGACCUCAAAUUUUCAAAGAACCAGUCUAAAGUGAACUUACUUAAGAAAUCUAUAAGGAGUUUUUGGACAAGAAAUGUGUUAUAAACCGAAAAAUUGGAAUUUUCUAAGUUUGAACCUGGAACAUUAUACCUGUUUUUUUUGGAUAAGCUUUUCGGAACCUAUCGUUAUUCAAAGUUGUGGAGAAGACAUGAAGAAAAAUCGGAACAAUACAGAAACUGGACUAAAAACAAAAUUAUCGGACCAUUGUGAUUAUGUUUUCAAAAUAUUGUGUGAAUUGAUAAUG
rnacentral:lncRNA from 1 species